AAUGGGCGAAAGCCUGACGCAGCCAUGCCGCGUGUAUGAUGAAGGUCUUAGGAUUGUAAAAUACUUUCACCGGUGAAGAUAAUGACUGUAGCCGGAGAAGAAGCCCCGGCUAACUUCGUGCCAGCAGCCGCGGUAAUACGAAGGGGGCUAGCGUUGCUCGGAAUUACUGGGCGUAAAGGGAGCGUAGGCGGACAUUUAAGUCAGAGGUGAAAUCCCGGAGCUUAACUUCGGAACUGCCUUUGAUACUGGGUGUCUUGAGUGUGAGAGAGGUAUGUGGAACUCCGAGUGUAGAGGUGAAAUUCGUAGAUAUUCGGAAGAACACCAGUGGCGAAGGCGACAUACUGGCUCAUUACUGACGCUGAGGCUCGAAAGCGUGGGGAGCAAACAGGAUUAGAUACCCUGGUAGUCCACGCCGUAAACGAUGAUUGCUAGUUGUCGGGAAGCUUGCUUCUCGGUGACGCAGCUAACGCAUUAAGCAAUCCGCCUGGGGAGUACGGUCGCAAGAUUA
rnacentral:rRNA from 1 species